rnacentral:rRNA from 1 species
AUUGAACGCUGGCGGCAGGCCUAACACAUGCAAGUCGAACGAGUGGCGGACGGGUGAGUAAUGUCUGGGAAACUGCCUGAUGGAGGGGGAUUACUACUGGAAACGGUAGCUAAUACCGCAUACCAUCAGAUGUGCCCAGAUGGGAUUGGCUAGUUGGUGGGGUGACGGCUCACCAAGGCGACGAUCCCUAGCUGGGCUGAGAGGAUGACCGGCCACACGGGGACUGUGACACGGUCCAGCCUCGUACGGAAGGCAGCAGUGGGGAAUAUUGCACAAUGGGCGCUAGCCUGAUGCAGCCAUGCCGAGUGUAUGAAGAAGGCCGUCGGGUUGUAAAGUACUUUCAGCGGGGAGGCGUUACCCGCAGAAGAAGCACCGACUAACUCCGUGCCAGCAGCCGCGGUAGUAC